rnacentral:rRNA from 1 species
AGUCGAACGAACUUCCGUUAAUUGAUUAUGACGUACUUGUACUGAUUGAGAUUUUAACACGAAGUGAGUGGCGAACGGGUGAGUAACACGUGGGUAACCUGCCCAGAAGUAGGGGAUAACACCUGGAAACAGAUGCUAAUACCGUAUAACAGAGAAAACCGCAUGGUUUUCUUUUAAAAGAUGGCUCUGCUAUCACUUCUGGAUGGACCCGCGGCGUAUUAGCUAGUUGGUGAGGYAAAGGCUCACCAAGGCAGUGAUACGUAGCCGACCUGAGAGGGUAAUCGGCCACAUUGGGACUGAGACACGGCCCAGACUCCUACGGGAGGCAGCAGUAGGGAAUCUUCCACAAUGGACGCAAGUCUGAUGGAGCAACGCCGCGUGAGUGAAGAAGGGUUUCGGCUCGUAAAGCUCUGUUGUUAAAGAAGAACGUGGGUAAGAGUAACUGUUUACCCAGUGACGGUAUUUAACCAGAAAGCCACGGCUAACUACGUGCCAGCAGCCGCGGUAAUACGUAGGUGGCAAGCGUUAUCCGGAUUUAUUGGGCGUAAAGCGAGCGCAGGCGGUCUUUUAAGUCUAAUGUGAAAGCCUUCGGCUCAACCGAAGAAGUGCAUUGGAAACUGGGAGACUUGAGUGCAGAAGAGGACAGUGGAACUCCAUGUGUAGCGGUGAAAUGCGUAGAUAUAUGGAAGAACACCAGUGGCGAAGGCGGCUGUCUGGUCUGCAACUGACGCUGAGGCUCGAAAGCAUGGGUAGCGAACAGGAUUAGAUACCCUGGUAGUCCAUGCCGUAAACGAUGAUUACUAAGUGUUGGAGGGUUUCCGCCCUUCAGUGCUGCAGCUAACGCAUUAAGUAAUCCGCCUGGGGAGUACGACCGCAAGGUUGAAACUCAAAAGAAUUUGACGGGGGGCCCGCACAGC